AGUGAACGCUGGCGGUAGGCCUAACACAUGCAAGUCGAACGGCAGCACAGUAAGAGCUUGCUCUUACGGGUGGCGAGUGGCGGACGGGUGAGGAAUACAUCGGAAUCUACUUUUUCGUGGGGGAUAACGUAGGGAAACUUACGCUAAUACCGCAUACGACCUACGUGUGAAAGCAGGGGAUCUUCUGACCUUGCGCGAUUGAAUGAGCCGAUGUCGGAUUAGCUAGUUGGCGGGGUAAAGGCCCACCAAGGCGACGAUCCGUAGCUGGUCUGAGAGGAUGAUCAGCCACACUGGAACUGAGGCACGGUCCAGACUCCUACGGGAGGAAGCGGUGGGGAAUAUUGGGCAAUGGGCGCAAGCCUGAUCCAGCCAUACCGCGUGAGUGAAGAAGGCCUUCGGGUUGUAAAGCCCUUUUGUUGUGAAAGAAAAGCAGCAGGUUAAUACCCCGCUGUUCUGACGGUACCCAAAGAAUAAGCACCGGCUAACUUCGUG
rnacentral:rRNA from 1 species